UUAAAGCAUUAACGACGAUCGUAUGGACCAGAACGAUCACGGUUAUAUCGUUCUCCCCCAUGUCCACCACCAUCCCUGCUGCUGCGGCUUCCAAAAUGAUCUCCAUUUCUAUCAGGUCCAUAAUAGCCACUUGAUCUACCACCACCACCUCCGCCGCCAUACCUAUCAUCUCUGCCGCCAUACCGACCACCUCUCUACUGCUGCGGCUUCCAAAACGAUCUCCAUUUCUAUCAGGUCCAUAAUGGCCGCUUGAUCUACCACCACCACCUCCUCCGCUGCUGCCAUACCGACCACCUCGACCUCCUUCACUUGGGCAUUCUCUGGCAAAGUGUCCUGGCUUGCCACACUUAAAGCACUCCCCACCACCAGAUCCACGCCCACCUCCAUAUUCACGAUUACUGCGACCAUGAUCACGACCUCGAUCUAGGUCACGGGGCCGAUCACUAUCAAAUUCUCUACCUGA
rnacentral:lncRNA from 1 species